ACGAGUAAUUUCUUCAUCUGUCUAUCUCUCCCCCAUUUUCUCCUUUCUUCUUCGUCUUUAUUAUUUUCCCACAGACCACCAUCUUCACUCCCACAUUUCAUCAGGCGGCUUUAGUACCACCGUGAACGAGCCUUGUUGACGCUUUAGCGAAAAGAUUGGACAGAGUUCAUUCGGAUGGAGAAAUGAAACGCGAGUUUCUACAUAGAUGGUUGAACUUUUAAGGCAUUUACAGUUUCAAAAAGCUCAGUAAGAUGAGAUCCAGGAUUUGAAGGGUUGCCUUAUGAUGGAGCAAGAAGAGAAAAACGGAUUGAACAGGAAGCUCCAAAGUCUAGAAAAGGAAUGUAUGUGCAUAGUAAAUAUACGCCAAUUAUUACUGCAACUGUAAUUACAAUCUUGUUUUUGUAUAAUAUAUAUAACCUCACUAGAAAUGAUUUAUUAAUGAAAUAGGCAAGAUGGGUGGGUCAGGCAGAUUGGGUAAAAGUUUGAUUUUCUUUUGUGUGUCGAAGCAUGUUUUGUGGAGUUGACUCUGCUUCUAGAUUGUUUUUAGUAGAGAAUCGAUGCGUUAAUGUGAUUGCAAAAACAGUCUUAUCACACAAUGAUCUGAAUCUUUGCACAAAAACCAGUUUAGGAUGUUGUAUGCGGCAAAAGUGUACUUUAGGCUUCUUUCAACUCUCUGAACCAUUACUCUUUAGCUUGUUUUUUUUCAUUUGAUGUUGAAACGUAACCAAAUUCGACUGGUUAAUAAAGAAAAUGUGUCCAUAUUGUUAACUUUUAUAUAUUUUAUAUUCGGUUAUCCUGGUGUUUUUGUGUUGUUGUACUGAUUAGCAAAACAAAGUCGGCUGAAAACAAACAAGAUUUGAGUUCAAAUUGACAUGUUGAAACUCUGAAGCAGAUGGUAAUGAAACUAAGGAAGGAAAAUGAGGUCCUCAAGAGGCAGUUGCUUGACUCCAAAGAUGACUGAUAUCUGUCAACAGUUGAGGACCUUCUGGUUUUCUGGUAUUUUGGGUUAUUUGCAGCUAUCAGUCCGAAGGAUACGAGUCAAAAGCCGGCCCUGAGCUUCUUGACAUCAUCUUUUCAAAAGCCGGCCCUGGUAUGUUGUUAUAUAUCUCUCAGAUGGCAGAUGGUUGAAUAUUGAAAGUGUUUUGAGUUCUACUAUGGUGUAUUUUUCGCAUACAUGCGGCUGAGGAAAUAGGAGAUCGGGAACUUGAUUCGGAUGAGUGUGUGUGGCACAUCCAUAAAGCCAGGGUUCAUGACAAUCUCGUAUUCAUAUUUAGCUGGGAACAUGUGCAAUAUAUGUAGAUAGUUAUAUUAUUAUGUAAUGUUGUAUUCAUAACUAAUUAUCGGUAUCUAUUUGGACACGAAUCGUUAUGUAAUGAAUUGGUGACUCAUGGUUUUGAUAUAUAUGAAAUGCGUUAAUUUGUACUA